AAAAGCCUCGAGCACCCGGGAUUCCCAGGUGGUCUCCCAUCCAAGAUCCUAACCAGGCCCGACCCUGCUUAGCUUCCGAGAUCAGACGAGAUCGGGCGCCUUCAGGCUGAUACGGCCUGAGACGGUGGCGGUGGGCUCGGGGCGCCCUAAGAGCCUUGCGCUUCGCCUCCCUUUCGCUCUGCCCUGCAGGUCGGGCCAACGGGCCGCACCUCUCGUCGCGGGGCGUGCUGUACUUGAGCCGCACGACCCGCGACCGGACUCCAGCCUGCUGACGCCGGCCCGCCCCCCCGAACACCGCCAACACCAGACCAGCAAGCGCCUGGCCGGGCCCGGGGGCCCGAGGGGCUUCCAGGACCCCCCAUUGACCGGGAGGGCGUGCGUGCGUGCGUGCGUGCGCGCGGGGCCUGGGGGCUGGGCUGAGGGGUGCGGAGGUCUCGGCGCCCUCCCACCCGCGGCCACUCCAGACCCGGCCGCUGCUGAGCGGGCCUCCCCGAU
rnacentral:lncRNA from 1 species